UCUGGCUGUACCGCAUCCUGCGCAAAGCCGCCGGCACGGCCGCGCACCUUCUGUGUCUGGGCUCCUCUGUCGGGAUCGGGGUUGUCAAUCGGCCGGGGACAAGUGAGUGUGAGUAGUUGAGCCAUCGCCUUCAGGACUGAGCCAGGGCAAUGGUCCGUAGGUGCGCCAUGUUCCAAAAGGCAGUAACUGGGGG